rnacentral:rRNA from 1 species
GAUGGAGAUUUGAGGGUUCAGAAGGAUGGGAACUCCAGGUGAAGUGGGAAAUGGGUAGAGAUUUGAAGGACCCCAAAAGGGGAAGGCAGCAUCCUGGGAAGUACCUGACGUUUGGGUGCGAAGUAAGGGGAGGGAACGGGAUUAGAUACCCCGGUAGUCCUAGCCGUAAACGAUGACCACCAGACGUUGGGGGUAUCGACCCCUUCAGUGUCGUAGUUAACACAAUAAGUGGUCCGCCUGGGGAGUACGGUCGCAAGAUUAAAACUCAAAGGAAUUGACGGGGACCCGCACAAGCAGCGGAGCGUGUGUUUAAUUCGAUGCAACGCGAAGAACCUUACCAAGGCUUGACAUGUAUGUGCACCGGUCGUAACGGAUCGUGCCCUUCGGGGACACAUACACAGGUGCUGCAUGGCUGUCGUCAGCUCGUGUCGUGAGAUGUUGGGUUAAGUCCCGCAACGAGCGCAACCCCUGUCGUUAGUUGAAUUUCUCUAGCGAAACUGCCACUACAAGGUGGAGGAAGGCGGGGAUGACGUCAAGUCAGCACGGCCCUUACGCUUUGGGCGACACACACGCUACAAUGGUCAGGACAAUGGGUCGCGAACCCGCGAGGGGGAGCUAAUCCUAGCAAACCUGAUCUCAGUUCAGAUUGGAGGCUGCAACCCGCCUCCAUGAAGUUGGAGUUGCUAGUAACCGUAGGUCAGCACACUACGGUGAAUACGUUCCCGGGUCUUGUACACACCGCCCGUCACACCACGAAAGUCGGCAACACCUGAAGCCGCUGGGCUAACUCGCAAGAGAGGCACGCGUCGAGGGUGGGGUCGGUGAUUGGGGUGAAGUCGUAACAAGGUAA